AUUUGAUGCUGUGGGCAUCUAGUGCACAAUUUAUUGAACUUUUCCCAUUAAUCAUAUAGAGAUUCUCCAGGAUACUGUUUAAUGCUACAUAUCUCUUUUCUUAGACU